ACCGGACAGGGCAUGCAGGCUCUUUGUUCGCCGGUGGGGCCACCAAUAUCAGGAAUUCAGGCAAUGAAUGAAGGAGACACGAGAGCAUGAAUAAAUCGGCUGGACGACAAUGGGAUAUCCGCUGUUCCUGCUUUCACUAAAUAUAAUAAACGGACAGCUCGGAUGAAUACCCUUCAAGGACAAGACGGUCCCCACAACCAAUCCGACCCAACUCAGCCCAACGCAAUGCACUGGGGAAACAUGCCACGUAAGCUUAGUUGGACUUGGAAACAUACGCAACUAUCCAAGAAGCAGCCUCGCACAAGAAACACCGAGAUUUUCUUCUCCAAGAAAAUUUUCCGCAGGCAUUCCAGUUGAAAAAGAUAUCCAUCACAAUGAUAUGUUGUUGGAUCGGGAGGGAAAGCAACCAGUCGAUGCUUCUUUGACUAUUGGAUUUACUCUAUACAGCAUAUGCGACAUUUACACCCUAUACUGAUAUGGGGAUUUGACGUUAAUCAAUAUAUUGCAGCAGGACGAAAGAAGGAUUGGAGAGCCACCUGAGCAUGAAUCGGAAAAACCAGCCUCUUCAUCAUGGUAAAGUACUUGCCUAGAUUGCUUUUUAGGCGCCAAAGGCUGCUUCCAUCGCAUUUAGGAUGGCAGGAGUAUUGAAGCUGAAGUUCCUGAAAGACUUGCCCGGGCGCGUGUCAGAUGGAGAUGCUUCAGGUGGAGAUUUAGAUGACUCUGAUUCACCUUUUGUGAUCAUCAAUUGACCUUGGGUUGGACUUAUCUGUGCACUCCAAAUAAGUUUUCCUGGGUAAACGCCAACAUCAGCAGCAGCAAGGAAGAAGAAAUGGAGCUGCCUGCAUGAGUUCCAUGGAAUUUGUUCUUCCUCCAAAAGUUUGGGUGAAAACAGAAUUCAACGUAAGAUUUCCCAAUUGUGUUUCAAAGGCAGUAAAUAGUUAUGUUUCCGAUCAAUUUUUUUUCUUGGUCAGGGAAACACUAGAAAAGUGAGUAAUUCCGUGACUAGCUUUUUCUUAAACAAACAGAUACUUGAUACCUGAGUAAUUUAGAAAAAAUUAGUUAUUAGCAAGUGUUAAUAUUACAACCAACAUAAUCGACAAGAUGAAUGCAGAAAACCUUUUGUAGGCACAGCAGAACCUUGAGCAACCAAGGCAGGAUGCUCUGAAAUCCAUGACUUCAGAGAUCU